ACUAUUUCCUGCCUAUUUUGUCAUCUUUUGUUUAUUUGCUUUGCAAAUCAUAGGUCUUGUUUGACUGUGUCUCUUCCCUUGAGCUGGGGUCGGAACAUAUUCGGGGGCUCAUCCGGGAUCAUUACAUCCAGGGGAGUUGAGUUGUUUUGUUGUUUUAGAUUGAGCAAUCCUGUGUUUGUUUGUUUUCAGUGGUGUGUUGUGUAACACUGUGGCUGUGGGCUGCUGUGUUUCCCCUCCUGGUGAGUAUAUGGUAAGUAUAGUCUGAGUGCUGUUGACCUGAAGUUGACAUUGAUCUCCCUGGUUAGUUAGAGAGUGCCAGCUGGACUGAGUAAUCCGUCUUAUCACUCACUCAUUUGUUUUUGGUUUUUUUUGGGUGCCUUUUUUAUUUUUGAUGUAAUCCUGGGUGGAGAAUAUUUUCUCCGGUGUGGGUAAAAACUUUAGGUCCAUAUGGCGGAGGCUUACUGAAGUUUUGCUUGCUUGGUAGUCGGUGAUUUAAUCAGUUAGAGUUAAAGUUGGUGCUCUGUUUAAGUGUCCGGGAUCCUAACUUUAUGUGUUGCGCAGCUUUUGUAUUGUCAAGUGGUGGUUGUGUAACUUGACUUUGUGUAGGCAGUUCUCUCUGUGUUUGUUCCUUUUGCUGUUCAAGACCAGCGGGUUCUGGUGUUUGCUUGGGUAAUUGUGUGCUACAUUAGAGGCUCGAUGGAUUGUUUCUAGUCCUAGAUAGAUAGAGAGAGUGUUUGUGAUUUGGCAGCUUGUGUGGUAUGGGACACUUUGAGCUGUGUGUGAUGCGCAUAUUGGUUUCAGUUGAAAUUUCAGAUUUCAGGGGCAGUUAACCAUUUGUUUAGAUGUAGGAAAGUUGUCUAGUAUGGCAGCACUUUUUGACUUUAUUAGUGCACCUUCAGAGGAGUUGCUCGAGCACUUCACUAAAGACCAGCUCUUUAAACUUGCCAGCAGAGAGAAGAGAGAGAUUAUUAAAGAAGGUCUUAGGGUCUUUUCUAACCGAAAACUUCAGCAGGGAUGAGCAGCGUUGCUAUGCUGCCAUUUCCUACUUCCUUUGUCAUCUUUUUGUUUGUAAUAACCUUUGCUUUGUGAAUCACAGGUGUUGGGGUCGGGGUUGUAACUCUGAUAACUUAAACAAAGGCUGCAUUCAAUGUAGGCGUGCUAUCACUAAUGUUACACCACGAACUAUGACAAUGCAUAUGUCUCGUGUGAAAAAGGCUAACAACUUGCUAAAACAAUGGUGUAACAGGUUAAUUGCCAGUGUCUGUUGCUUUUAUUUAUUACAUGCAUAGCACCACACACAGUCUCUGUGACAUCAGUCUGUGCACUGCUACACAAGCCAAUGUUUUUCUUUUCAAGUCCUAUUAAAAGUUGUGGGGAAAGUAUUGCUAUCAGCUGUUUUUCUUCUGUACCUGCAGUGGAUGUUUGCUUGCUCUUAGUAUUUAACAAAAUCAGACAAGUUAGAAAAACACUGUUAUCAAAGAGAGAGAGACAGGCAAAACUUUACACUUCAGGCUGUGUUGUAAUGAUGUGACAAAACUGCUAUCAGAAAAGGGCUGCAAUUUCAUCAUAAGGUAUUUUGAUGUGGCUUUGACAUCAGUGAUUAAGGAGGAUAGCAUGUGAUAAGCAGUAAUGGGCUGUCAGUGUAUUAUCUAGUGUCAGGGAAAGGUGAUGCAGGAAUAGAAAGGAGCAGCAGGAGGCAGGGGGGAAGCGAGAGGACAGACUCAUAUGAAAGAAAAGUGCUGCUGACAGUUCCACCUUUUCCCGAGGCCAUUCAUGUUAUUUUGUAAAACAGAUUUAAAACAGACAAAACCGAGAACAUCAAAUCAUCAAAUCAUUUUCAAUAAUCAAACUGGAGCUGAACUGAACCUGAGAGCACCAGUUGCUCUGAGCUAAUUUUCCGAGGAGGGGAUAGAAACAGACCGAGCACAGAGUAUGCUGACCUAAAUGCAGACUUUCCUCUUAUUUAUCUCCAUCUGUUAUUUACCAAAGCACUUUUCUCUGGCUGCCGCAGAGUGACUGGAGAAGUCCCUGCAUUCUCCUCAUCUCACUGCUUACAUUUUACAGAUGGCUCCCAGAUGGGUCAGUAUACAGACCUUCCUGGAAACCUAUUUUGUGAAGGGACUGCAAACAAUUAAUUUGGUUUACGACUUGCCCUAGGCUCUUCUCCCAGCGGGACAUGCCCAGAAAAACUCUGCAGCAAGGUGUCCAGAGGCCAUCCCGAUCAGCUGCCUGAACCACCUCAACCUGAAGAGGCCCCACAGAGCGCGGACCCAUGGGAGCUGAGAAAAGUGAGCCUGUGGAGCACAGCGACAUCGGGAACAGAGGCAAAAGAAGGGAGGCUGAAACCUCAAGGACAGAGAAGCAGAGGUUUUUGAAUGUUGUCAAAAAGAGACCUGUGGACGGCCAAAACAAGCCUGAAAAGACUCGAAGCUUGUUUGCACAAACAGGAGAAAGGACUAUUACAUAAACAGCCUCAAUGUUUUUUCCUGUACCUCACGGUUUGAAUUCUGUUUUAUUUUUAGUUGCUUGUUUUUAAUUAUUCUGUGGCUGUCUACUGGAUUUUUUUAACCAUUAUUUAUUGUGCUACACAUCUUUUUGUAAUAAACAUGUUUUUUUUUUAAAUAUUAAUUCUCAAGUACCUCUCCAUACAUAUCUUAAACUAUGUAACAAUCAAUUUUGUUUAAAAUGGUUUUCCAACAUAAAAAUUGAAAGAAAGAAAAACGGCUUAUUGCGUUAGGUUGACAAGUGAAAUAGCAGAGAGUAUCAAGAUGGUUAGAGGAGGAAACAGCCACAUGUUUAUGUAUCACAAUGGUAAGUGUAGUUAUUUGUUUAUGUUGCUUGUUAACUUGUAGCUGGCAGUUGGCUGAUAGUGUUGGUGGUUGUGCUCUCUGUACCAAGUCUGAUAGUUAGCAUUAAAGGAGACACUGCGGAGACUCAGCGACACGUUUGAGCCUCAGUCAGACCCAGACUCAGGUGAGGAGUCUGUUGUGAUCAAAACCAGUGACCAACAGACAUGUCAGAGCAGUUAGCAUAGUUAGCAUCUUUUAUUUGUUUAUGUUGUCUGUUAGCUUGUAACCGGCAGUCGCUGACAGUGUUAGUUGUUGUGCUUAUGCAAACUCUCUCUCUCUGUACUGACACAGCUUCAGGUUUAUUUAGGCACACCCCCGUCCUCGUAAGUUGACAGGAUUGGUAGAUACAUUGGAAACUCUGGCUGUCUGAUCCUGUUUUUAUGAGACUGUCAUUGGGCUCACUGCAGUUCUGAGAUGAACUCAGUCAUGGUGUUCACUGAUUAUUUUGCUCACGAAUGUAUUAUAUAAAAAACAUCAUAUGGACGUGUCAACAAGGUUAAAAAUUUGCUGAAUUGUUAGAGAAUUAGGAGAUCUGUUAGAGCUUAGCUUAUAAAUAUAUUUUGCUCUUGUGUUGACACAAUGCUGGGCAGAUACCAUAGAUCUCUUGGUGUUGAUUGUCCACAGGGCAAAGCACAUGCAGAAUAUUACGUUUGUCUAAGGUUAAAUUAAACUGUCUACAUGAUAUAUUUGCAUGUAUUUUCAGCCUAUUAAGUUCAUGUGAGCAUGACCUGACGUUAAACAUUACAGCUUCAAGCCAUGAACACGAAGCCACGCUUUAUAACUCUGACUAUACGUGCAGCCUGUUCAAAGAGGAGCAGAUCAAGCCUCUUGGCUCCAAACAUGACAGGGAAGCAGCAGGUUGUGAAGCUGAGGAGAUGAAGAGACUCGUCCAGGCCCAAAUAAGGUAACAUCUACAAUCCCUUCAGUUGUUAAAAUAAGGUUUAAUCACUGUUAUGUGUGUUUGUUUUGUUUUUUUUUUAACUUGAGGCCAAGUAGCGGUAACACAGGUUAAUUCCUCCUCUGUUUGAUCAAAGUCAGUGUGAUACAGAGAGGUAUCCCGUAUGGACGAAUGCCAAGAAUGAGUUUGGGCUGUUGGAUCCAAAUGCAGUAAUGCUAAAGGACUAGCCACUAACGAUAUUGGGUGUUUCUGUUUGGGUUUAGAUUUAUCUCAGUUUCAUCAGUUGAUUUUAUUCUGCAUUCUACCAGCAUAUUGUUUUAAUCCCAUGUAUUUUGUCUGUCAAUUCCAAGGGUGCUACAUGAAUACAGUACCUGUAUUUUAGCCUUACAUCGAUACUACUUAAAUCCUCCUCUGUAAUCUUGUAAGGUGGCUGUUGAUGGUUUGUUCUCAUUAGCAAUGAAUAAAGCAAGCUGUGGUCAGCCUGCAGCACUGCGCUGCUGUCCAUCUCUAUGCUCAGUGUGUUGCAGACACUCACAGAUUUGUCAAAAUAUGGCUAAGUUUGCUAUUUCUGGCAGAGUUUCUGAGCUUUGAUGAAAGCAACAGCUUAACAUGGAAGCGGCAUAUUUAGCUGGAGCAGUGAUGAGUAUUUGGAACGUACUGAGAAUACAGAUGGACAACAGAGAAGUGGAUUAUGCGUGGUUUGAGAAGUUUUAAUGGACAUUUUAAUACCGUUUUUCUACUGUGAAAUCCUGUCAGUGUUGGAAUCCACAUUGUAAAUGGUUGAAUUCAAGCUGCUGUUCUUCCUCAAAUGAGAAAACUACCGUCACUGUCUAGACCUACAGGUGGGAAAGUUUACCCCUGUGCACAAGCUGUUUCUAUCCUAAUGACUAAGGAAAUUUAAAAAAUGCAGGUGAAAUAAACUGUGAGUUGGCGAAAUAAAAUGUGAAAAAGUAA